rnacentral:rRNA from 1 species
GGGUUGUGAGGUUAAGCGACUAAGCGUACACGGUGGAUGCCCUGGCAGUCAGAGGCGAUGAAGGACGUGCUAAUCUGCGAUAAGCGUCGGUAAGGUGAUAUGAACCGUUAUAACCGGCGAUUUCCGAAUGGGGAAACCCAGUGUGAUUCGUCACACUAUCAUUAACUGAAUCCAUAGGUUAAUGAGGCGAACCGGGGGAACUGAAACAUCUAAGUACCCCGAGGAAAAGAAAUCAACCGAGAUUCCCCCAGUAGCGGCGAGCGAACGGGGAGCAGCCCAGAGCCUGAAUCAGUGUGUGUGUUAGUGGAAGCGUCUGGAAAGGCGCGCGAUACAGGGUGACAGCCCCGUACACAAAAAUGCACAUAUUGUGAGCUCGAUGAGUAGGGCGGGACACGUGGUAUCCUGUCUGAAUAUGGGGGGACCAUCCUCCAAGGCUAAAUACUCCUGACUGACCGAUAGUGAACCAGUACCGUGAGGGAAAGGCGAAAAGAACCCCGGCGAGGGGAGUGAAAAAGAACCUGAAACCGUGUACGUACAAGCAGUGGGAGCACGCUUAGGCGUGUGACUGCGUACCUUUUGUAUAAUGGGUCAGCGACUUAUAUUCUGUAGCAAGGUUAACCGAAUAGGGGAGCCGAAGGGAAACCGAGUCUUAACUGGGCGUUAAGUUGCAGGGUAUAGACCCGAAACCCGGUGAUCUAGCCAUGGGCAGGUUGAAGGUUGGGUAACACUAACUGGAGGACCGAACCGACUAAUGUUGAAAAAUUAGCGGAUGACUUGUGGCUGGGGGUGAAAGGCCAAUCAAACCGGGAGAUAGCUGGUUCUCCCCGAAAGCUAUUUAGGUAGCGCCUCGUGAAUUCAUCUCCGGGGGUAGAGCACUGUUUCGGCAAGGGGGUCAUCCCGACUUACCAACCCGAUGCAAACUGCGAAUACCGGAGAAUGUUAUCACGGGAGACACACGGCGGGUGCUAACGUCCGUCGUGAAGAGGGAAACAACCCAGACCGCCAGCUAAGGUCCCAAAGUCAUGGUUAAGUGGGAAACGAUGUGGGAAGGCCCAGACAGCCAGGAUGUUGGCUUAGAAGCAGCCAUCAUUUAAAGAAAGCGUAAUAGCUCACUGGUCGAGUCGGCCUGCGCGGAAGAUGUAACGGGGCUAAACCAUGCACCGAAGCUGCGGCAGCGACGCUGAUGCGUUGUUGGGUAGGGGAGCGUUCUGUAAGCCUGUGAAGGUGUGCUGUGAGGCAUGCUGGAGGUAUCAGAAGUGCGAAUGCUGACAUAAGUAACGAUAAAGCGG